AGUGCAUGUGGUGGAUGCCUUGGCGAUCACAGGCGAUGAAGGACGUAGUAGCUUGCGAAAAGCUGCGGGGAGCUGGCAAACGAGCUUUGAUCCGCAGAUGUCCGAAUGGGGAAACCCGGCCCGUAUGGGUCAUCCCUUGCUGAAUACAUAGGCAAGGGAGGCGAACGCAGUGAACUGAAACAUCUAAGUAGCUGCAGGAAAAGAAAUCAACCGAGAUUCCCAGAGUAGUGGCGAGCGAAAUGGGAACAGCCUUGUACUCUUUAGCAGUAUUGUUAGCGGAACGGAAUGGAAAGUCCGGCCAUAGUGGGUGAUAGCCCCGUACGCGAAAACAGUAUUGUGGAACUAGGUGUACGACAAGUAGGGCGGGACACGUGAAAUCCUGUCUGAAGAUGGGGGGACCAUCCUCCAAGGCUAAAUACUCGUGAUCGACCGAUAGUGAACCAGUACCGUGAGGGAAAGGCGAAAAGAACCCCGGGAGGGGAGUGAAAUAGAUCCUGAAACCGCAUGCAUACAAACAGUCGGAGCCUGGAAACGGGUGACGGCGUACCUUUUGUAUAAUGGGUCAGCGACUUACAUUCAGUGGCAAGCUUAACCGAUUAGGGAAGGCGUAGCGAAAGCGAGUCCGAAUAGGGCGUUCAGUCGCUGGGUGUAGACCCGAAACCAAGUGAUCUAUCCAUGGCCAGGUUGAAGGUGCGGUAACACGUACUGGAGGACCGAACCCACUAACGUUGAAAAGUUAGGGGAUGAGCUGUGGAUAGGGGUGAAAGGCUAAACAAACUUGGAAAUAGCUGGUUCUCUCCGAAAACUAUUUAGGUAGUGCCUCGUGUCUCACCUUCGGGGGUAGAGCACUGUCAUGGUUGGGGGGUCUAUUGCUGAUUACCCCGCCAUAGCAAACUCCGAAUACCGAAGAGUGCAAUCACGGGAGACAGACAUCGGGUGCUAACGUCCGGUGUCAAGAGGGAAACAACCCAGACCGCCAGCUAAGGUCCCUAAGAUUGGCUAAGUGGGAAACGAAGUGGGAAGGCUAAAACAGUCAGGAGGUUGGCUUAGAAGCAGCCACCCUUUAAAGAAAGCGUAAUAGCUCACUGAUCGAGUCGUCCUGCGCGGAAGAUGUAACGGGGCUAAGCCAGUCACCGAAGCUGCGGAUGCACGUAAGUGCAUGGUAGGAGAGCGUUCUGUAAGCCUGUGAAGGUGUCUUGUAAAGGAUGCUGGAGGUAUCAGAAGUGCGAAUGCUGACAUGAGUAGCGAUAAAGGGGGUGAAAGGCCCCCUCGCCGUAAGCCCAAGGUUUCCUACGCAACGUUCAUCGGCGUAGGGUGAGUCGGCCCCUAAGGCGAGGCAGAGAUGCGUAGCUGAUGGGAAGCAGGUUAAUAUUCCUGCACCGUCGUAUGAUGCGAUGGGGGGACGGAUCGCGGAAGGUUGUCCGGGUGUUGGAAGUCCCGGUCCCUACAUUGGAGAUGGCACUUAGGCAAAUCCGGGUGCGUGAUUCAAGGGUGUGGGGCGAGCGACGUUAGGUCGCGAAGCAAUUGGAAGUGGUUCCAAGAAAAGCNCCGGGUGUUGGAAGUCCCGGUCCCUACAUUGGAGAUGGCACUUAGGCAAAUCCGGGUGCGUGAUUCAAGGGUGUGGGGCGAGCGACGUUAGGUCGCGAAGCAAUUGGAAGUGGUUCCAAGAAAAGCCUCUAAGCUUCAGUCAUACGAGACCGUACCGCAAACCGACACAGGUGGGCGAGAUGAGUAUUCUAAGGCGCUUGAGAGAACUCGGGAGAAGGAACUCGGCAAAUUGGUACCGUAACUUCGGGAUAAGNUCUAAGCUUCAGUCAUACGAGACCGUACCGCAAACCGACACAGGUGGGCGAGAUGAGUAUUCUAAGGCGCUUGAGAGAACUCGGGAGAAGGAACUCGGCAAAUUGGUACCGUAACUUCGGGAUAAGGUACGCCCUUGUAGUUUGACUGGCUCGCGCCAGAAGGAUGAAGGGGUUGCAAUAAAAUGGUGGCUGCGACUGUUUAAUAAAAACACAGCACUCUGCAAACACGAAAGUGGACGUAUAGGGUGUGACGCCUGCCCGGUGCCGGAAGAUUAAAUGAUGGGGUGCAAGCUCUUGAUUGAAGUCCCGGUAAACGGCGGCCGUAACUAUAACGGUCCUAAGGUAGCGAAAUUCCUUGUCGGGUAAGUUCCGACCUGCACGAAUGGCGUAACGAUGGCCACACUGUCUCCUCCCGAGACUCAGCGAAGUUGAAGUGUUUGUGAUGAUGCAAUCUCCCCGCGGCUAGACGGAAAGACCCCAUGAACCUUUACUGUAGCUUUGCAUUGGACUUUGAACCGAUCUGUGUAGGAUAGGUGGGAGGCUUUGAAACCGGGACGCUAGUUUCGGUGGAGCCGACCUUGAAAUACCACCCUGGUUUGUUUGAGGUUCUAACCUUGGCCCGUGAAUCCGGGUCGGGGACAGUGCAUGGUAGGCAGUUUGACUGGGGCGGUCUCCUCCCAAAGUGUAACGGAGGAGUUCGAAGGUACGCUUGGUACGGUCGGACAUCGUACCUAAAGUGCAAUGGCAAAAGCGUGCUUAACUGCGAGACCGACAAGUCGAGCAGGUGCGAAAGCAGGACAUAGUGAUCCGGUGGUUCUGUAUGGAAGGGCCAUCGCUCAACGGAUAAAAGGUACUCUGGGGAUAACAGGCUGAUACCGCCCAAGAGUUCAUAUCGACGGCGGUGUUUGGCACCUCGAUGUCGGCUCAUCUCAUCCUGGGGCUGUAGCCGGUCCCAAGGGUAUGGCUGUUCGCCAUUUAAAGAGGUACGUGAGCUGGGUUUAAAACGUCGUGAGACAGUUUGGUCCCUAUCUGCCGUGGGCGUUGGAAUCUUGACGGGGGCUGCUCCUAGUACGAGAGGACCGGAGUGGACGUACCGCUGGUGUACCUGUUGUCUCGCCAGAGGCAUCGCAGGGUAGCUAUGUACGGAAGAGAUAACCGCUGAAAGCAUCUAAGCGGGAAACUCGCCUGAAGAUGAGGAUUCCCUGGAGACUUGAUCUCCCUGAAGGGUCGUUCGAGACCAGGACGUUGAUAGGCUGGGUGUGGAAGCGCAGUAAUGCGUUCAGCUAACCAGUACUAAUUGCCCGUGCGGCUUGAUC
rnacentral:rRNA from 1 species